GGGGGGCCAAAUUUCCUGUGACACCGGUAACAUACCGCGCGAUACACAGAUACCGCGAUAUAACGAGAUAUCCGCAUCAAUGCUAGCCUGAGCGUACGGAAUUACGCUUGUAACACAGUCUCUAGCCUGCGUAGCAGUCGCUUUAUUUUUUAAAUUUUAUUUGAGGAUAUUUAGUAUUUGAGGAUAUUUUAAUGCGAAAAAAAGAGCGGAGAAAAACCCUUCGCCGUUUUUUUUCUGCUUUUUUUCGCAUUCAUUUCUUAAAAUAUCCUCAAAUAAAAUUUAAAAAAUAAAGCGACUGCUACGCAGGCUACACAGUCUCCGACUCUGUGCUUAGGCUUGCCACACACCUAUUGAGAGGAUUCCCUGCUCCUUUUAAAGGUCGAUAGAGGUCACGCGUCACAAUCCCGCGUAUUGAAUUUCUUUCGCAUUCUUGAUGAAAAUCUGCGCUACUUGAAAUUGCUUAAAAUUUCUAAGAGCCUUAGGACGAGAAGUCGUACUCAAGAAAAUCAUUUGCGCUCAGUUGGGUUAAAGACAUAAGAAUUGUAUAUUCGCAGGUUAGUUCGUAGUGUAACAUAUUUAACUAGAUGAUAUACGAUUUAAAUUUCUCAUUUGUGUCUCAUGAAGGCGUGUGCAAACUAGAUUAUCUUUCAAGAUAGAACAGCAAGGAAUACGAGUUAGUUUAUGCAAAAAUAAGUGCGGGCGUUGUAUUUAGUUUUUCUCUUGUGUAAAUUUGUGUGAAAAGCCUAAAAUCGCAACAGUUUUUGUCAUUUUCUGAGGAAAUGAAACUUCAUACUUUAGC